rnacentral:lncRNA from 1 species
GUCAAACUAUUCUGGGCAACAACUAACAAAGGGCUUCCUCUAAUCAGGACCCUUAGUAUUUAAAGAAUGGUCAGAGCAGGUACAAGCAGCUAAUGCCAAACACAACAUGCAUGUUUUUGGCAAAAGUUGUAACUUCAAAGCACCUUGGAAACUUGUAAGGGUUGUACAAAACUUGUAACUUGUCAGUCACGCAGAACAAUCAACCAUGUAAAAUAAUUUUUAGAUGAGGCCCAUUGGCAGGAGUGUGAUAUCAGAAGAAAAUAUAAACACAAGCUUUUGGAUGACUUCAAUCAUUCAUUGUGGUGUGUCUUAGAAAUCACCAUAAAUAGAUGGUAUAUUAAUGAGUACUAAAAUGAUUAAAAUCCAAAAAUAUUGGUCAUAUUCGGUGUGCAGGGACAUAAUGUUGGUUAUACUCUAUUAACUUACUUCUGUAAGACUAUUAAAAUUAACAGUUAAUUUCCAUAAUUUAUAUUGAGGAAUUCAGUCGACAACCCUAUCCAAAUUUGAAUUCUGUUGAUGAAUAAUUAAUAUAUGGAAAGACGGACCCUUGGCUGUGAACAGGUUAUCAACACUUGAUAACUGCAGAUAACCAAAGCUGGACUGUAAUUUUAAGGUUUGGCUACGAAGGAUAUGAAACAAUUUCAAGGAGAACUAACUGUGAGAGAAGACUUACCUUAUGAUGAUGAUAAUGAAGUAGAUUAUUGUGGGGUUGACGACGACGAUGAUGAGUUUUAGAAGUAGAUGAUGAAGGUGAUUGACUUUAGGAGAAGAAUUCGCAUUUGCAGCAGCGGAUGAGGGUUGAGGAGGCUUCGUUUUUCGUUGAAAAGAGAAGAGAAGGCACCUAAAUGAGAUUUAUUAGGCCACAGCUUGACAGACUUCACCGAAAAAAAGCCUAUCAAAAAGUCCAAAUCAACAAUAGCUUCGUAUUCAGCUGAAACGCAUUAAUAGAUUUAGACCUGUUAGGACAAAAAAAAGUAACACAUUAUUAAGUUCAUUCCCGAAGGCUAAAAAAAGAUCUCAAGCUUUGAAAUGUUGAAAUUCCAAAUACUCGCCGCUGCUAAAAGACCAAUCUCAACUGAGAUAAAUAUCACACCAAAGAAAUCUUUAUUUGAAUUAAACUUGAAAGAUAAUCCAUUAGUAAAUGGCUUUGUCCAAUUGACCUGGAAUGUAAUCCAAAUUAGUCAUUACAAGCACAUAAUCAAUUAUAGUGUUUGUUGUCAACACUAUAUUGUUUGUUGUCAUUUAACAUGUACUUUGUGAUGCUGCCAACACCUAAAUUCCAUUAGUAGAUGUAUACUGUAGUUGCAUAUUAAUAAUUUAAAUGUGACAACAGUUACCAAAUCAUAUGACACCAAUCAUUCCAUUAGAAAUUACACUAUAAUUCACAUAUUAUACCUGUAAUUACAGUGACCGCCAGCUCCAUUCCAGUCAUCCUAUUAUUAUAAAAAAAAAAACCAACAGGUGGAGGAACUUGGAAUAACAGUUAGAAGAAAGAAGAAAAAUAAAUAAUUACGUUUGAGAUUAAAACUGAAUAACCAUUAUAGAUUAUAAGAACACAAAAAUAUAAGAAGAAUUUAAAAACAAAACUGAAAUUGAAAACUAAAAUGUCAUGUAAAAAAUAGAAACAAACAUUAAUUUUUCCUUUUUUACACAAAGAAGUAAUUGUACUACGUACCACUGAAAACCUAGAUAAUAGAAAAUCUUAAUUUAAUCCAACUGAGUGACUUAACCAUGUUUAACACUCAACAUGCCUUGGAAGUCCAAUGACUGUAGCCAUAUUUGAUAAGCACUAAGUGUGAUUAUGACCAAAAAUUUUUAUUUGAAAUAAACCCGAAAGAUAAACAUUUUUGGAAUAAAUAUAAAUGAAUAAGUAAAACUUACACUGGCUCAAUUACUGAAUUUAGCAUUGAUUGUGCUCGUUCCUUCUCUCUUCUUAUGAGUUGCCCUAGCUUUGCCUUACUUAUCUCUUCAGUUCCAUUUGAAAAUAUAGCUUCCAAUGACUUUGUUUGAGAAGUUGAAUCACUGCCAUGUAGGUAACAUUAUAAGCAUGUUUAUUUUAUGUUACAAAUAAUGAAAAUUGUUGUUCAUGUAAUUAAAUAAAAUAAAAAAAUUAUAUUAUCUAUGUGCAAUCCUUAUGCAUUGAUUUGAAAAAACUUACAUAGGUUCAAUUACUGAAUUUAGAAUCGAUUGCGCUCGUUCCCUUUCUCUUCUCAAACGUUGUCCUUGUUUUGCCUUACUUAUCUCUUCACUGUUGGUUGAAGAAGUUUUCACACUUUUGACAGGUAUUUUUUUCUUUGUCAUGAUUGUGCUCCAAGUA